rnacentral:misc_RNA from 1 species
CAGACGUACAUACUAUCAGUCUUCUGAGGAACCUUAAUCUAAUUAGUAAUCAUACAUAAUUUGUAGAUUAGAUUGAUGAAACUAUGAAGCAGUGGUGUCAUUGGGAGUUGGAAGGAAGCCUUACUUACCUGUUAAUAAAUGUCUCUUCCCUCUGCUAUAUUUUCUCUUAAUAUCCAUGAUACUGCAACAAUAUAUAAUUCUCUUUAAUUGCACUGCCAAACUCGUCUCCCAAUAUAAGCUUUCAUUACAGCACUCAAUCAGACCAUUACACAUCAACCUGGAUUUUUUCUAAUACAUUGUUAUAAGUUUCAAGAAUUCCAACUUCUUUACAACUGCAGGCGGGAAAAAUGUACAAAAUAUGCCACAGAUAGCCAGAUGAACAUCAAAAAGAAAAAGUGUUGCAGAUCUUGUGCAAGGAACAAUCUUCUUUGAAUUCCCGCUCUCCCUACCCAACACACCCCACACCACCCCA